rnacentral:misc_RNA from 1 species
GAAACUUUAGAUCUCAUUUCUUGUUGUACAAUUCUCGUGAAUCCUUCGUCUUCAUCGUAAAAAUGGGCAGAACUUUCUUCGUCGGCGGUAACUGGAAAUGCAAUGGAACCAGUGAAGAGAUCAAGAAGAUUGUAGCGACACUCAAUGCUGGUCAAGUGCCAUCACAAGAUGUUGUUGAGGUUGUUGUGAGCCCUCCAUUUGUAUUUCUUCCUCUGGUCAAGAGUGAGCUGCGAUCUGAUUUUCAUGUUGCUGCCCAAAAUUGUUGGGUUAAGAAUGGCGGUGCUUUCACCGGUGAAGUUAGUGCUAAUAUGCUUGUUAAUCUGAGCAUUCCAUGGGUUAUUUUGGGUCAUUCUGAAAGAAGAGCCAUUUUAGGUGAAUCAAAUGAGUUUGUUGGAGACAAGGUAGCAUAUGCUCUUUCUCAAGGUUUGAAGGUAAUUGCAUGUGUUGGGGAGACUCUUGAGCAAAGAGAAUCAGGAUCCACCAUGGCUGUUGUUGCAGCACAAACAAAGGCUAUUGCAGACCGAGUAAAAGAUUGGUCAAAUGUGGUGAUAGCUUAUGAGCCUGUUUGGGCUAUUGGUACUGGAAAGGUUGCAACCCCUGCACAAGCCCAGGAAGUACAUGCUGAAUUGAGGAAAUGGCUUCAAGCAAAUGUUAGCGCUGAAGUUGCUGCUUCAACCAGGAUCAUCUAUGGAGGAUCUGUAAGCGGUGCCAACUGCAAGGAGUUGGCUGGACAGCCAGAUGUUGACGGUUUUCUUGUAGGUGGAGCUUCGUUGAAGCCGGAGUUCAUUGACAUCAUCAAGGCUGCUGAGGUGAAGAAAAGCGCCUAAGGUCUUGCACGCUAUUGGAAUUUUGCAGUUUUUGAUCUAGGACUUCCAAUGCAGUAGACUUGUAUCAAGUCAAUGUCUUGUGUACUCUUUAUUGCAGUUUGAAAUUUACGUAACAUGUACAAUAAAAUUGACAAACAUUGCACUACCCUACUUCUUUUUUGGCUGCAACAAUAUUGUUUAAUAAAAUUAAAAUGUGCAUCUAAUGACAUACCCA